rnacentral:rRNA from 1 species
AUUGAACGCUGGCGGCAGGCCUAACACAUGCAAGUCGAGCGGAUGAAGGGAGCUUGCUCCUGGAUUCAGCGGCGGACGGGUGAGUAAUGCCUAGGAAUCUGCCUGGUAGUGGGGGAUAACGUCCGGAAACGGGCGCUAAUACCGCAUACGUCCUGAGGGAGAAAGUGGGGGAUCUUCGGACCUCACGCUAUCAGAUGAGCCUAGGUCGGAUUAGCUAGUUGGUGGGGUAAAGGCCUACCAAGGCGACGAUCCGUAACUGGUCUGAGAGGAUGAACAGUCACACUGGAACGGAGACACGGUCCAGACUCCUACGGGAGGCAGCAGUGGGGAAUAUUGGACAAUGGGCGAAAGCCUGAUCCAGCCAUGCCGGGUGUGUGAAGAAGGUCUUCGGAUUGUAAAGCACUUUAAGUUGGGAGGAAGGGCAGUAAGUUAAUACCUUGCUGUUUUGACGUUACCAACAGAAUAAGCACCGGCUAACUUCGUG